rnacentral:lncRNA from 1 species
CUGGAACCGGUCGGAUGAUCUCUGUACCGGUGUCUUUCUCCGCAGGGCCUUGGAAGUGAAAAGCGGCCCCGGUGCAACGUCUGCCAUGCGGAGGUGCCUGGCGGGAUACUGCAGCAGUCGAUACCGCAAGGCCGAGCUGUCCUCCUUCUCGGUGCAGCCGCGCAGCGUGGAGGGGCCUGCAGCUACGAGGGGCGCCGAAAACCGGGAUCCCUCGGACGGAUCCCGCGGAAAAGCCGAGCUGUAGCCGGAAAAAAAUCCAACGGAAAACCAAACUGAUUUCGAGACUCGGUCGGCAUCGGGAUUGGGCCAUUUCAAACCCUGCCACUGCAGUCAUGUUUCAACGGAAGUUUCAGGGAUCCGGCGAGGCAGGAGGCCUAAAGCUCUUGGUCGGACACGACGGGGAAGUUCUCUAGACUCCGCUGACUAACGUGCUCCUUGGGUUUCGUUUCUGGGGGGGAUUUUGCGAGUGAAAGUUUGCAAGGUCUGAUUUGCAUGUCUAUGGAAGCUUUGUUUGUACUGCUUUUGGUUUUACUUCCUUAGUGGGGGAUUCUUAUGGGGAAAUGGUUUGGUACGCGGAUCUGUGUCGGGCGUCUCCCGCUUCCGUUACACAUAGCGGCAGAAGACGAGGACGCCACGUGGUCGUGGGCUCUGGAGGGCCGACCUGAUGAAAUUCUGCUUUACCACGCUGUUGUAAACACAGCAACGGACCCAAAGUCUCUCUUGUGAUAUGGCAAGAAUACACAGUGUACAUAGCUAUUCAUAGUGACACCCUAUAAUCCAGGUAAAAUAACAUAGGAUAUUGCGGCAUAAGUUGAGAACAAGAAAAUUUCCAUAAGAGAAUUGUUACCUUUGAUUAGCCUGUCAUUCCCCUUUAGUCCUUCCUCCCCCAUAAUUACUAUCAUAAUUAGAUUGAACUGGACUUGAUUACAAUACAUUUAAUUGCAUUAUCAGGAUGUAUAUUAUUUCUGUUUUUUUCUCCUUUUCUUCUUAUUAGAAAGCAGAUGCCAACCUAUCUCACUUUUUUUGUUGUAGUUAAUGGUGAAAAUUCGUUCCAGGUUCACGAGGAGGAAUUUAAUCGUUAAUUUUUCACAAGUGCCUCGGUCCUUUAAUGCCGAGCUGCGUGUGUACAAUUUUACAGCCUUGGAAUAUUUUGGAAUGCUGCCUCAAUAGUUUUCGCUCGUAAUGAAACGUUUCUUUAAGUGUUGAUUUCAUACAGAAAAAUUACUCCAGCUGUUUAAAAGAGUAAGCAAAUGUGCAGAGUUGUAGUCGCUCAACUUGGCAUCUUCUCAAUACGUGUGAACUUAUAGCCUCUCAAGCGGAGGAUUCCAGCGAGGAUGCUGCUUUCUGUGGAAUGUGCCUGUGGCCUCUCAGUCAUGGCUAAAUUCAGCCCCGGCUGCGAUGCUGCGAUCGGUGUCACCUGUCCUUGUGCAUCUCAUUAGGUCCAUUAGCCUCCACAGGCUUUGCUUCCCUCUAAUUAGACGGACUAUGAGACAGCAGCGAGAGAGAGGGGGCGACGGCUGCAUCUGCGGCGGUUAAAUCACCCUUAAAACCCUGAUUAAUCAAACGGGGGCAGGGAGGAAAAUUGGAGUAAAUAUAAAUAUUCCCUAAUUGACGAUCCACGAUGGGGGAAGGAAUAAUGCCUCUGUUUGCGUGUCAGCGUUCUGGAUUUUUACGUGCAACACAUGCGCUAGUGCUGUCGCGAUGGGAAGCGCGCUCUUCCCCAGGUCUGCGAGGAGAGGCCUAGGGGCAUCGCUGUGUUGUGUCACUUCCCUGUGAGCCAGGGGCACAACUGAAGCGUAAAAAAGAAAAAAAGAUUCCUGAUUCAGUACUUUUUGCUACAGAUCAGGUCUUUCAGGUUUUUUUUCCACGUCAUUGUCUAUUAUAGCACAUUUACUCUUUGUGAGUGUGUGUGAGUGUGUGAGUGAGUGCAACUGGAGGAUGCCACUGGGAGCAAUGGGAAUGCCGCAAAAUGCCAUAACAAAAGUGAGCCUGCGGCCGCGAGAUUUCCGAGCUUAACACUGGGACGCAGCAGAUGGGCGCCCCCGUGACUGCGCAAGUGCGGAUUAUUGCAUUUUCGGCAUCUGCGUCCCCACAUGGCCGCGAGGAACACGGCAGGAGAGGUGGACGCUGGUGAAGGCCGCUCUAGUGCCCACCUGCCUCCAGCUGCUGCCGCCCCCUAAGUCUCUCACACGCGCACAGACACACACACACACGCGGACCCUUUACAGCAGUUCAUUCCCAUUCAUGAAGCAUCCUUCAGGUUAUCUCCUUUUACAAGACAUUAGCUCCAGAAAUGCUGUUUCAUGAUGCCUAUAGCGUCCAGGCAAAUCCUCCCAAUAUCCAGCUUUCAAUUUUUUUUCAAUUGUUCCUUUGCUUUUCCUUUUUUUUUUUUUUUGCCUUGUUUUGCAAAACAUGUUGCUUUGUGCUCUUGAAUUUAUCUUCUUUUUAAUUCAAGGUGACACUGGUGCAAUAAAAAAUGGAAUGAUUUGAUUUUAGGCUGCCA